UACAGAGGAUGCAAGCGUUAUCCGGAAUGAUUGGGCGUAAAGCGUCUGUAGGUGGCUUUUAAGUCCGCCGUCAAAUCCCAGGCUCAACUCUGGACAGGCGGUGGAAACUACCAAGCUGGAGUACGGUAGGGCAGAGGGAAUUUCCGGUGGAGCGGUGAAAUGCGUAGAGAUCGGAAAGAACACCAACGGCGAAAGCACUCUGCUGGCCGACACUGACACUGAGAGACGAAAGCUAGGGAGCGAAUGG
rnacentral:rRNA from 1 species